GCGACAAGCGCGCAUUGGCGUAGAGAUCUUUUGGCUUUGUUUUGCGACUGCAACUCUUGCCACAGAGUCUGCUCCGCAGUGGAACUGUGUCUUGGGGCCCCUUGAGGCUGCUUAUCGCGCGUCAAUUGCCAGACAACUUCAUUGCUGCCACAGUUGGCUGCAGCAAAGCGAGGCAAAGAGAUUCCUGCGCAUUGAUGUUGACAGCAGGAGUUCCAAGCACGCGUUGCAACCACAGAAGGAAGUGUCAGUUGCACCACAGACACAGCCACAGCCACAGACACAGAGCUUUGUGGUACGAAU
rnacentral:lncRNA from 1 species